ACCUGAUUAAUAUGUAUUGCCACGAGGCCUCUGUCGCUAUCCAAGGUGCUGGCCACCUUACCUUGGUGGUUCCAGCCAACCUUCCUUACCAGGGCUAGAGUGUGAUCCUCUCUCUGCUCCCAGUGCUGUGAUGCUAUCUGCUCAUUUAACCUCUAUAUUACUAGGGUCUGCUACACCACAGGCUGCUGAUAUUAAGCUUAUGCGUUAAUACAAGGCCUCAGUUGCUUAUUUGCACCUCUGGGGUCAGUAUCUGCAGCCAGAUCGAGUUUCUCUGUCCCAGUUCUGACCUGGAAGGUAAGCCCUCUGACCCAUUUCAGCCAAGGCACUCUCUCUUUCUGCUUCUUAUGUAAACUACAUGCCAAUCCUCACACCUGUCUCCACUUGGUUUGAGACAUGAUCCCAAUUCUCACUCCUGAGAAUGUCUAAGAAAUAGUUACACAAUUCUUUUUCUACUGGAGGAGGUCCUUUGCAUGGGAGAAAGUUCAGGUUAAAAGCACAUAAUUUAUUAAUAUAUUUCCUCAGACCUAAGUUUAUACCCUAGCUUUAUUAAUGACUAAAUAUGCAAACUUGGGCAAGCUACUAAUGCCUCCGAAUCUUAGCUUCCUCAUCUCUAACAUGGGAAUAAUAAUACAUGCCUCAUAGUGUUAUUAAUAAAAUGGAAGCUAAUGUGUUUAAAAUCACUUAGUUCAUAAGCUUUUAUUGUUUUUUUAAAAGGUAUUAAUAAAUAACAGUACAGCAGUAGUCUCAUCCAUUGUCCUAGUCUGAGCUGGCCUAUCUCUCUCAUUGUGGAACAUUUCCUACCUUCUCCUACUCUCUCCUGACAGCUGCUUUUGCUGCUAAUAAAUCCUGCCUGUGAUAUCACAAUGCAUUGUAGCAGCUGGCUCAGAGUCAAGACAUCAACACAUGAAUCAGACAGGAUGAGAGGAGGAUAAGGCUAAAGACAGAGGCUCCAGCUACCUUGGUGACAAGGAAUGGAGGAGAAAAGGAACAGGAAAUUUUAAUAAGAUUAGGAGGGCUUGCUUUUCUGCCAAGUGAGCCGCUUUCACAGGAGCGAUAAAUUGGAAAUGUUAUCUGGCUUGAUAUGCCAGUUUUUCUGAGAAAAUCACUCUGCCAGUGGUGACAGAAUGGAAGAGCUGAAAACAUCUUCUUUUUUCAAAGUCAUAUGUCACGAACCAAGGAGACUCCAAAAAAUAAAUUAUGGAAGAUUAUGACCACUGCUGCCAAGGAUACAGUGAAAUAGAGUUUGUGGCAUCUGGUUUUAACUCCAAUAUGUAAAGAGCUUGGAAGCCAUCUUUCCUUCCACCACAACAAGAAAACAGCUGAACUGAAAAUCAAUGACUUUUCUUAGAUCCAUUAAAGAAUUGAGAUUGCAGGACACACUACCACCCUGAAAACUGGAGAGAGGAAAAAUACAGAGAGGAAGCAGAUCAGCUUACCUGAAGCAGAGGCCGCUGGAAUCUGUGACAGGCUGCAUUUGUAACCAAGCCGUGGUCCUUUUCAUUGCAUCUUGCCAGAAUGAAGAAGAGCUGAUCUCUCCAGUUCCUGUUAUUCCCCUUACAUUGCCCACAUUUAUUGCUCAAUAAACCACAGAAAUCCUUCUGUAACCCUCGUUCUUCUCCUCUCUUCCCCCUUUCACUAUUGAAUUUAAAACUCAUGCAUUAGGCAUGUGCUUUGUGAUAUUUGUGUCACCUCUCUAAACUGUAGUGCAAAAAAGAGGAAGAAAAGGCAUCUGCUCAAAUUGACAUUUCCAUCUCGGCUCACUCAUUUGAGAGUGACAGGCUAUAAUUUGCCAACAGGUUCACAUCCAAAUGCAUAGGUUAGUGCUGACAUCAGGUGAUUUUUCCACCAUUGCCAUCUCCAGCUCAUGCAUGCUACACAGGAGGCCACGCUUAAGUCAGCAGAUAUUGCAGGGAAAAGGAAGAGAAAAAAAGGAGAAAGCUCUUGAUUUCCCUAAGCCUCUUAAUGCACCAAACACAAUGAUAUACUUAGGUCUAUUUGGUGGAGCAGGUGGGUGGGUCAGAGCAUGCAUUGGAAUGCUGUGUGGGUUGAGAAAACUGGGUUUUCUCUUAUGUGCACUCAAUCUGUGCAAACACACUUACCCUUUGACUCUGUGAGUAAACAGACUUUUUAGCCAGGAAAACCAGGAUCAAUUCCUGGCUCUGAAGACCAAGACCGAGGUGAGAGAGGAAACAUAGUUCCCUCCUGCUUCCAGUGGUCUUUCCCUAUCCAGUUACGUGCCUCCACCAGCCACAACAAGGUCCACUUGCUAUUAGACUGGUGCAAUGAAUGGCAAAAAACACAAUUACUUUUGCACCAACCUAGUAACUUGUACAUUGUCUGGCCAAGAAGAGAACGUGUUUAUUACUUUCUUUUUCUUUCUGUUUCUUUUCUCCCUAUUGCUUCUUUCAUCCUCCUCCUUCCUUCUGGAUUCAAUUUUCUUCUUGCUGGGUUAUAGCCUUUAGAGGUUCUCUCAGCAAGCAUCUCUUUGGUAGUAAAUUCUCCUAGUCUUUUCAUGGUCUUUAAUAGAAUUUUUUGGGGUAAUUUUUGCCUGUGUGCUUGCUUUCAGCAGGAGUUGGUAUUAACAGCAGUCGUGCACGUGCCUAGGUUUAGGAGGACUCCUAUUGUCUGGUUUUAUGGUUGUCUCUGCAGAGGUUCCUCACUUCCUGGCUAGCUUUUACAUUAAUUCCGUGGCUCGAAGUUUCUACCCCGUGUCAGGAGGUACAACUCAGGCUCAUCUACUACAUACACCUCAUGCAGUUCCAGGGUUCUAAUAUUUUAUGAGUCACUACUUUCCAUCAGCGAUUCAGGCAGACAUUCACUUCUGGGCUCUGUCCCAGAGCUGGAAGGGAAGUUUCUCCUCCCUGUUUACAGACUCAGCAUGUGUUUCCUGGUGCCUUACUUUACCCAGGAAUCUUCAUUCCUUCUUGUAGCCUUAUAAGGGGCCACAGACUUGAAGACAGUUUCUUUCCAAGAACAUUACAACCCCAGCCCCAGAGGGUCAAAUUCUGUUCUUUACUGAGCCUGGGAAGCCUCUUAUCAUCUCUAGAUUACCUGAGGGGCACCCUUUUUAACUUUGACCUCAGAUUCUAUUUUAUUGAAUUAAAAUUGUUUAUUUAGUAACUUUACACUUUACAGCAUAGAGAAGGUUUUGCAUAAAGUUUUGUUUUGCCUUAUUGACCAGGAGUCCUGCACUCACUUUUCUG
rnacentral:lncRNA from 1 species